UACGUAGGGUGCGAGCGUUAAUCGGAAUUACUGGGCGUAAAGCGUGCGCAGGCGGUUUCUGAAGUCCGUUGUGAAAGCCCCGGGCUUAACCUGGGAAUGGCAGUGGAAACUAGGAGACUUGAAUCUGGCAGAGGGGGGGUGGAAUGCCACGUGUAGCAGUGAAAUGCGUAGAGAUGUGGCGGAACACCGAUGGCGAAGGCAGCCCCCUGGGCCAAUACUGACGCUCAUGCACGAAAGCGUGGGGAGCAAACAGG
rnacentral:rRNA from 1 species